ACGGGGGGGGCAAGCGUUGUUCGGAAUUACUGGGCGUAAAGGGCUCGCAGGCGGCCGUCUAAGUCGGACGUGAAAUUCCUCGGCUCAACCGGGGAACUGCGUCCGAUACUGGAGGGCUCGAAUCCGGGAGAGGGAUGCGGAAUUCCAGGUGUAGCGGUGAAAUGCGUAGAUAUCUGGAGGAACACCGGCGGCGAAGGCGGCAUCCUGGACCGGUAUUGACGCUGAGGAGCGAAAGCCAGGGGAGCAAACG
rnacentral:rRNA from 1 species